rnacentral:rRNA from 1 species
CCUACGUGAGGCAGCAGUGAGGAAUAUUGGUCAAUGGACGCGAGCCUGAACCAGCCAUGCCGCGUGCAGGAAGAAGGCUCUAUGGUUUGUAAACUUCUUUUAUACGAGAAUAAAUUCAGGUACGUGUAUCUUUUUGAAAGUAUCUUACGAAUAAGGAUCGGCUAACUCCGUGCCAGCAGCCGCGGUAAUACGGAGGAUGCAGGCGUUAUCCGGAUUUAUUGGGUUUAAAGGGUGCGUAGGUGGUUAAUUAAGUGAGAGGUGAAAGGUAGUGGCUCAACCCUGAAAUUGCCGUUGAAACGGUUUGACUUGAGAAUAGUUGAGGUAGGCGGAAUGUAUGGUGUAGCGGUGAAAUGCAUAGAUAUCACGCAGAACUCCGAUUGCGAAGGCAGCUUACCAAACUAUAACUGACACUGAAGCACGAAAGCGUGGGGAUCAAACAGGAUUAGAUACCCCAGUAGUC